rnacentral:rRNA from 1 species
AACGAACGCUGGCGGCAUGCCUAACACAUGCAAGUCGAACGAAGCCUUCGGGCUUAGUGGCGCACGGGUGCGUAACGCGUGGGAAUCUGCCCCUUGCUUCGGAAUAACAGUUAGAAAUGACUGCUAAUACCGGAUGAUGUCUUCGGACCAAAGAUUUAUCGGCAAGGGAUGAGCCCGCGUAGGAUUAGGUAGUUGGUGGGGUAAAGGCCUACCAAGCCGACGAUCCUUAGCUGGUCUGAGAGGAUGAUCAGCCACACUGGGACUGAGACACGGCCCAGACUCCUACGGGAGGCAGCAGUGGGGAAUAUUGGACAAUGGGGGGAACCCUGAUCCAGCAAUGCCGCGUGAGUGAUGAAGGCCUUAGGGUUGUAAAGCUCUUUUACCAGGGAUGAUAAUGACAGUACCUGGAGAAUAAGCACCGGCUAACUCUGUGCCAGCAGCCGCCGUAACAC